rnacentral:rRNA from 1 species
AGCGUUGUUCGGAGUUACUGGGCGUAAAGCGUGCGUAGGCGGUGUCUUAAGUUUGUUGUGAAAUCUCCCGGCUUAACCGGGAGGGUGCGGCGGAUACUGAGAUGCUGGAGUGCCGGAGAGGUAAGCGGAAUUCCUGGUGUAGCGGUGAAAUGCGUAGAUAUCAGGAGGAACACCUGCGGUGUAGACGGCUUACUGGACGGUAACUGACGCUGAGGCACGAAAGCGUGGGUAGCAAACAGG